rnacentral:rRNA from 1 species
UAUACGGGGGAAAGAAAUACAAUGAUUCCCUUAGUAACGGCGAGUGAAGCGGGAAGAGCCCAGCACUGAAUCCCCUGGCCGUAUGGUCAACGAGGACCUGUAGUGUUUGGGAGUGUCUUUGGUGCGUUCGUGCGGUGUUUGAGUCCUCCUGAUCGGGGCUUGUUCCCAGAGCGGGUGUAAGGCCUCUACUGCACCAAGCGGCGUGUCUCUGGCGCUCUCUGGAGUCGGGUUGUUUGAGAAUGCAGCCCAAAGUGGGAGGUAAACUCCUCCUAAGGCUAAAUACGUGCACAAUUCCGAUAGCAAACAAGUACGGUGACGGAAAGUUGAAAAGCACUUUGAAGAGAGAGUUGGAAAGUACGUGAAACCGUUUACAGGUAAACGGACGGGACCGCAAUGUCGGCAGUGGGGAUUCAGGCCUCUGGCUGGUGCAAUGCCGUGCUGGUGACACGUUCGCGUGCGUCGGCGCAGUGCUGCGUGCUGGUCGGGAGCUGCACUUUCCCGCUUGCCGAGCGCUACGACCGUUUGGCUGGCAGUCAGUAUGAGCUCGAUCAAGGUAGCCCGGUGCCGCAAGGCUUCGGGAACUUAUAGGUUCGGGUGGAAUUGGCCUGCUGGCUGAGCGAGGAACUCGGGCCGCGCGGAGCGGGCGGGUGGCCACCAGUUGGCGUUCGACUGCUGAGGACUGCUUGCAGUGCUUGGCGACUGCGUCGGCUGGGUUGGGCUGCCUGUCUGUCUGUGCUACUGGGUCAGUAGCGUACUGUCGUCACCCCGUCCGACCCGUCUUGAAACACGGACCAAGGAGUCUAGCAUGUGCGCAAGUCAAAGGGCUUUACGAAACCCCAAGGCGAAAUGAAAGUGAACGUAGGUGUGAUCCGGCCUGCUCGCCAGGUCGGCGCAGCACCGCCCCGUCGCGAGGCCUUCAUUGUUCUGCGGCGAGUC